rnacentral:lncRNA from 1 species
GAUUGCUUUCCGUGGCAGUGGCAUAUCUUUUUCCCUCACGAAGCUAGAAUGCUGGCAACUGCCCAGGGAGUAGAAGCCUUUAAAGAUUUCAUGUCUCGAGUGAAACACAGUAUAAAUAAAUAAAUGCAUUAUGCAGAGCUUCCUUUAACUUAAAAAGAGGGAAGAGCUAAAGAUUCGAUAGAGCCAAUGACUGACUUGGCUAAGUCAAUGUAACUAAUUUGGAGGGGUUUACACUGUAAAGAGGCACCAAUAUAAAACCAGGAGAGAUGUUGUGAAGGAGACCUGGGAGCCCUGCACUAUACUGGGAACUUAGGAGCCCUAGAAAAUGGGCCUGCUAAGCUGUGUUCUUCUGAGGCAGAAGUACAGAGUUAUACAGAAGUGAAGAGCACUUGCUGGAGUUGUUCCAUGUGCAUCGUUGCAGUAGUCACGCCAGUGCUAAAUCUAGUCAUCUCCGGGUUGUGAUGGGCUGGCUGAAUCCUUUAAAAGCUCCUAACAGUAUUAAACUGUCAGAGGUAGGUGUUUCCAAACAAACUGGCUUAAAAGGGUAAUAUCGCUACUUUUAUCUAUGUGCUGCAAUACAGUAGCGGAUGCGUGGGUAUUCCUUCCACUUCUGAAAUGAAGGAAAUACUUUACCUCCUUACUUCCAGGGUCUGAUCCUGUGAGGUGAUGAAUGCCCCUGAAGGGACUGAAUAGGCUUGAUUAAAAAUUAGGGACACUUUUUUUUGCAAAAAGUUCCCUGCAAAAUGUUCCCAUUAUUCGAUCCGUGAAUAAUUCCCUCCACUCCUGCCAAAGAGA